AGAGUUUGAUCCUGGCUCAGGAUGAACGCUAGCGGCAGGCUUAACACAUGCAAGUCGAGGGGCAUCGGGAGGGAAGCUUGCUUUCCUUGCCGGCGACCGGCGCACGGGUGAGUAACACGUAUGCAACCUGCCCUCUUCAGGGGGACAACCUUCCGAAAGGGAGGCUAAUCCCGCGUAUAUCGGUUUCGGGCAUCCGAGAUCGAGGAAAGAUUCAUCGGAAGAGGAUGGGCAUGCGGCGCAUUAGCUAGACGGCGGGGUAACGGCCCACCGUGGCGACGAUGCGUAGGGGUUCUGAGAGGAAGGUCCCCCACACUGGUACUGAGACACGGACCAGACUCCUACGGGAGGCAGCAGUGAGGAAUAUUGGUCAAUGGGAGAGAUCCUGAACCAGCCAAGCCGCGUGAGGGAAGACGGCCCUAUGGGUUGUAAACCUCUUUUGUCGGAGAACAAAACCCGGGACGAGUCCCGGACUGCGUGUAUCCGAAGAAAAAGCAUCGGCUAACUCCGUGCCAGCAGCCGCGGUAAUACGGAGGAUGCGAGCGUUAUCCGGAUUUAUUGGGUUUAAAGGGUGCGUAGGCGGUCCGUUAAGUCAGCGGUAAAAUUGCGGGGCUCAACCCCGUCGAGCCGUUGAAACUGGCAGACUUGAGUUGGCGAGAAGUACGCGGAAUGCGCGGUGUAGCGGUGAAAUGCAUAGAUAUCGCGCAGAACUCCGAUUGCGAAGGCAGCGUACCGGCGCCAGACUGACGCUGAGGCACGAAAGCGUGGGGAUCGAACAGGAUUAGAUACCCUGGUAGUCCACGCAGUAAACGAUGAAUGCUGGGUGUCCGGGUCGAAUGAGACCUGGGCGGCGAAGCGAAAGCGAUAAGCAUUCCACCUGGGGAGUACGCCGGCAAACGGUGAAACUCAAAGGAAUUGACGGGGGCCCGCACAAGCGGAGGAACAUGUGGUUUAAUUCGAUGAUGCGCGAGGAACCUUACCCGGGCUCAAACGGGAGUGGAAUGGACCAGAGACGGUUCAGCCUACGGGCCGCUUCCGAGGUGCUGCAUGGUUGUCGUCAGCUCGUGCCGUGAGGUGUCGGCUUAAGUGCCAUAACGAGCGCAACCCCCGCCGGCAGUUGCUAACGGGCAAUGCCGAGGACUCUGCCGGGACUGCCGCCGCAAGGCGUGAGGAAGGCGGGGAUGACGUCAAAUCAGCACGGCCCUUACGUCCGGGGCGACACACGUGUUACAAUGGGCGGUACAGCGGGAAGCCAGGCGGCGACGCCGAGCGGAACCCGAAAGCCGUUCUCAGUUCGGAUCGGAGUCUGCAACCCGACUCCGUGAAGCUGGAUUCGCUAGUAAUCGCGCAUCAGCCAUGGCGCGGUGAAUACGUUCCCGGGCCUUGCACACACCGCCCGUCA
rnacentral:rRNA from 1 species